CGUACACUCCUGCGGGAGGCAGCAGUGAGGAAUAUUGGACAAUGGGUGGAAGCCUGAUCCAGCCAUCCCGCGUGCAGGAAGACGGCCCUAUGGGUUGUAAACUGCUUUUAUCUGGGGAUAAACCUACUUACGUGUAAGUAGCUGAAGGUACCAGAAGAAUAAGCACCGGCUAACUCCGUGCCAGCAGCCGCGGUAAUACGGAGGGUGCAAGCGUUAUCCGGAUUUAUUGGGUUUAAAGGGUCCGUAGGCGGACUGAUAAGUCAGUGGUGAAAUCCGACAGCUUAACUGUCGAACUGCCAUUGAUACUGUUAGUCUUGAGUAAGGUUGAAGUGGCUGGAAUAAGUAGUGUAGCGGUGAAAUGCAUAGAUAUUACUUAGAACAUCAAUGGCGAAGGCAGGUCACUAAGUCUUAACUGACGCUGAUGGACGAAAGCGUGGGGAGCGAACAGGAUUAGAAACCCCGGUAGUCC
rnacentral:rRNA from 1 species